rnacentral:rRNA from 1 species
AUUGAACGCUGGCGGCAGGCCUAACACAUGCAAGUCGAACGAGUGGCGGACGGGUGAGUAAUGUCUGGGAAACUGCCCGAUGGAGGGGGAUAACUACUGGAAACGGUAGCUAAUACCGCAUACCAUCGGAUGUGCCCAGAUGGGAUUAGCUAGUAGGUGGGGUAACGGCUCACCUGGGCGACGAUCCCUAGCUGGUCUGAGAGGAUGACCAGCCACACUGGAACUGAGACACGGGCCAGACUCCUACGGGAGGCAGCAGUGGGUAAUAUUGCACAAUGGGCGCAAGCCUGACGAAGCAAUGCCGCGUGGAUGAAGAAGGCCGUCGAGUUGUAAAGUGCUUUCAGCGAGGAGGCGUUACUCGCAGAAGAAGCACCGGCUAACUCCGUGCCAGCAGCCGCGGUAAUUC